UACGUAGGGGGCGAGCGUUGUCCGGAAUUACUGGGCGUAAAGGGUGCGUAGGCGGCGAUACAAGUCCAUUGUGAAAAGCCCGGGCUCAACCUGGGAGGUGCAGUGGAAACUGUAUGGCUUGAGUGCAGGAGAGGAAAGUGGAAUUCCUAGUGUAGCGGUGAAAUGCGUAGAUAUUAGGAGGAACACCAGUGGCGAAGGCGACUUUCUGGACUGUAACUGACGCUGAGGCACGAAAGCGUGGGGAGCAAACAGG
rnacentral:rRNA from 1 species